rnacentral:tRNA from 1 species
GCCGGAGUGGUGGAAUGGCAGACGCGGUGGACUCAAAAUCCACUGUCCUUCGGGACGUGGGGGUUCAAAUCCCCCCUCCGGUACCA